rnacentral:miRNA from 1 species
AUGCGGAACCUGCGGAUACGG